rnacentral:rRNA from 1 species
CACCAGGUUGAUUCUGCCUGACGUGGAAGCUAUUCUUUAAGAUUAAGCCAUGCAUGUGUAGUGAAGUGAAGCCAUUAGGUGGAACAGCGAAAAGCUCAGUAAUACAAUCAUUAUUUGGUCUACAAGAUAUAGAAUAACCUUGAUAAAUUAAGGCUAAAGCUAUUGUAGAAUAAGAGAUUGACCUAUCAGCUAGUAUGUAGGGUAAGGGCCUACGUAGGCGAUGACGGGUAACGGGGAAUUAGGGUUCUAUUCCGGAGAAGGAGGCUGAGAGAUGGCUACUAGGUCCAAGGACGGCAGCAGGCGCGAAACUUACCCAAUGCUAUUAGUAGUAUAGAGUGUAGUCAAUAUUUGAAUGGAGAGGCUAGUAAAGCAACCAUUGUAAUUCCAGCAAAUCUAUUACGAGUAUUGCUGCAAUUAAAAAGUUCGUAGUUGAUUAUUGUAAUAAUCUUGUGAUAAGUAUUAAAUUAUGAUUAAUGAAAGCCAUGGAAGGAAAUAGGAUUAAAUAGGGAGGGGUGAAAUCUGUAGAUCUAUUUAGGACUAACUGAAGCGAAAGCGAUUUUCUAUGUGGUAUUUGACAAUCAAGAACGAAAGCCGGAGUAUCGAAGACGAUUAGAGACCGUCGUAGUUCCGGCAGUAAACUAUGUUAUAUUAUUUGUAGUGUAUAUGAGUAUAUAUUAUGGAUAUAUAGAAAUUAAGAUAUUAUGAACUUUGGGGAUAGUACGAACGCAAGUUUUAAACUUAAAUGAAAUU